rnacentral:rRNA from 1 species
AUGGACCUGGAGCUAGCGGUGAUGGGGGCCCGUCGGGCCCAGGAGGAGCUCGAGUCGCUGCCCAACAAGGACGCAUUCCCGACGGUGGAGGAGAUGGAGCAGGAACCAGCGGUGAUGGGGUCUCGGAGGAAGGUGGUGCGCCGGCGGCGCGGGGCGAUGUCGGCUAGGCCGGGGCAGCGGCGGUGCAGGCACUGCGGGACGACGAAGACGCCGCAGUGGCACAGGGGGGCAGCGGGCUGCCGCACGUUGUGCAACGCGUGUGGCGUGCGGUACAAAAGGGAACGCCCGGAGUAUGCACCCUCUCAUCAGGAGGGACUGGAGGUUGGCGGCGGCGAGGCGUUGGAGACUAUGGAGGCGGAGCCGUCGGAGGUGGGGUCUCAGACGAAGAGGGUGGUGCGCCAGCGACGGACUUUGGCGUGGCCUCCGACAGCGGCUGAGCCGGAGCAGCGGUGGUGCCAGCACUGCGGGAAGAUGAAGAAGCCGCGAUGGCGCGAGGGGGCGGCUGCGGAGCAGGAGCGGGAGUGGCUGUUGAACAAGAACGUCCCGGCGGUGGAGACAGUGGAGCCGAAGCCAUCGGUGGUGGCGCCUCGGACGGAGGGGGUGGUGUCGCCGGCGCUUUCUGACCUGGGGCAGCGGCUGUGCCGGCACUGUGGGACGGCGGAGACGCCGCAAUGGCGCGAGGGACCGGAGGGCCGCAAGACGCUGUGCAAUGCGUGCGGCGUGCGGUACAGGGCCGGCCGCCUGGUGCCGGAGUACCGGCCGCUGCGCAGCCCCACCUUCUCCCCGGAGCUGCACUCCAACAGGCACAGCCGCGUCGCCCAUAUGCGCCCUGCCGGGGCUCCUCAUCCACUGCCGCCGGACAAGUGA